UCCGAUAUAGUGUAGGGGCUAUCACAUCACGCUCUCAUACCGUGGAGACCGGGGUUCGAUUCCCCGUAUCGGAG